CCUACGGGGUGCUGCAGUGAGGAAUAUUGGUCAAUGGCCGCAGGGCUGAACCAGCCAAGUCGCGUGAGGGAUGACGGUCCUAUGGAUUGUAAACCUCUUUUGUCAGGGAGCAAAGGGCGCCACGUGUGGCGCUUUGCGAGUACCUGAAGAAAAAGCAUCGGCUAACUCCGUGCCAGCAGCCGCGGUAAUACGGAGGAUGCGAGCGUUAUCCGGAUUUAUUGGGUUUAAAGGGUGUGCAGGCGGAAUGUCAAGUCAGCGGUAAAAUUUCGGGGCUCAACCCCGUCGUGCCGUUGAAACUGGCGUUCUUGAGUGAGCGAGAAGUAUGCGGAAUGCGUGGUGUAGCGGUGAAAUGCAUAGAUAUCACGCAGAACUCCGAUUGCGAAGGCAGCAUACCGGCGCUCAACUGACGCUCAUGCACGAAAGCGUGGGUAUCGAACAGGAUUAGAUACCCGAGUAGUC
rnacentral:rRNA from 1 species